rnacentral:lncRNA from 10 species
GGGACUGACCUACUGGUGACUUUCAUUCUAGAAUCAGGCUCUGGGUGUCUGGCAGGGAGGACUCUGUUGGCUUCUGGCUGGAGAGAAGGAGGUGAGGAAGAGGAAAAAGUAAGAACAGAGAAGGAAAAACUGAGCACAGGAUUAGGCUUGAUGUGAGCUGAGGAGAGUUUCUGAACCAAAUCACUUUUGAAAAUGGUCUGUGGGAUAUCAACUUGCUGAAAUACUAUGCAGCCAAUAAAAUGAUAAUUAUGUUGACAAUUUUCGUUCACAAAAAAUGUACAUAAAAUAAUUUUACCUGCCAAAGAGGUAAAUUAAAAAUGUCAUGGAAAUGUUUAUUGCAAAUGUGUGAAAUGUAUGUAUGUUUUUUGAAAAAAUUAGAAGCUGACUUGGUGUGCAGAAAAUGUUUAUAGUUCAUUGUUAGUUUGUUUUUCUGUAAAGUACUAAAAAUACGUAAAAAAUGAUAUACCACUUUGAGUGAAUAUGUAAAGUAAUAAAUUCUAUUUCGUUUAAUGAUAAUUUGAUAACCAAAUGCCAUUCAACAUUAGCUCCAUGGUAUGAAGAGUGAAGACUCAUGUAAAAGAGCAAGUGAGUAGAUAGGUAUUGAAUAUUACCU